GCAAAACGCGAAGAACCUUACCUACUCUUGACAUCUACGGAAGACUGCAGAGAUGCGGUUGUGCCUUCGGGAACCGUAAGACAGGUGCUGCAUGGCUGUCGUCAGCUCGUGUUGUGAAAUGUUGGGUUAAGUCCCGCAACGAGCGCAACCUCUAUCCUUAGUUGCCAGCGAGUUAAGCCGGGAACUCUAGGGAGACUGCCGGUGAUAAACCGGAGGAAGGUGGGGACGACGUCAAGUCAUCAUGGCCCUUACGAGUAGGGCUACACACGUGCUACAAUGGUACGUACAGAGGGAGGCAAGCUGGCGACAGUGAGCGGAUCUCUUAAAGCGUAUCGUAGUCCGGAUCGCAGUCUGCAACUCGACUGCGUGAAGUCGGAAUCGCUAGUAAUCGCAAAUCAGAAUGUUGCGGUGAAUACGUUCCCGGGUCUUGUACACACCG
rnacentral:rRNA from 1 species